UGAUCUAUUACACAGUUCCUAUUAUCAAAGGGUCACAGUUUGGUAUAAGAGAGUAAUUUUAUACGGUCGAAGAGGACGACCAUCCCCGCUAGAGGAGGGCCAGUCUUCAGUCAAUGGUAUACGAGUAGCUGCACUCCCCUGCUAGAACCUCCAAACAAGCUCUCAAGAGAGUAAUUUUAUUUAGGCAAGUAACUAAAACAUAUCAUGAUUAUAAACCUAUGGU
rfam:Papio anubis isolate 1X1155 chromosome 4, whole genome shotgun sequence.